rnacentral:rRNA from 1 species
UACGUAGGGUGCGAGCGUUGUCCGGAAUUAUUGGGCGUAAAGAGUUCGUAGGCGGCUUGUCGCGUCGGAUGUGAAAGCCCGGGGCUUAACUCCGGGUCUGCAUUCGAUACGGGCAGGCUAGAGUUCGGUAGGGGAGAUCGGAAUUCCUGGUGUAGCGGUGAAAUGCGCAGAUAUCAGGAGGAACACCGGUGGCGAAAGCGGAUCUCUGGGCCGAUACUGACGCUGAGGAACGAAAGCGUGGGGAGCGAACAGG